rnacentral:rRNA from 1 species
UACGGAGGAUCCAAGCGUUAUCCGGAAUCAUUGGGUUUAAAGGGUCCGUAGGCGGUUUAAUAAGUCAGUGGUGAAAGCCCAUCGCUCAACGGUGGAAACGGCCAUUGAUACUGUUAAACUUGAAUUAUUAGGAAGUAACUAGAAUAUGUAGUGUAGCGGUGAAAUGCUUAGAGAUUACAUGGAAUACCAAUUGCGAAGGCAGGUUACUACUAAUGGAUUGACGCUGAUGGACGAAAGCGUGGGUAGCGAACAGGA